CCCCAAGGUGGAGUUUUCCAGCCCACCCCAGCCAAUGCUCCCAAACAUGGAUCCCAGACUACAGGGGCCGAUGCAGAGGAUGAAUGUUCCUAGAGGAAUGGGUCCCAUGGGCCCCGGCCCCCAGAGUUUCGGAGGAGGGAUGAGACCGCCACACACCUCAAUGGGCCCUGGCAUGCCAGGAGUGAAACAUGGGGCCUGGAAAUGGCAG